rnacentral:rRNA from 1 species
AUGGAUCACAAUCCACAUGUGCUCUGUUGGAACGUGAGGGGUUUAAACAACCUUGCCAAGAAGCAUUCUGUUAGGGAGUUUGUGGUGGCGGCUAAGGUCAAUCUUGUGUGCCUACAAGAGACUAAGCUUGAUGUAGUGGAUCCUUUUACUGUUUUGCAAUGCAUUGGCCCAUCGUUCGAUGGGUUUGACUACGUGCCUGCUGAUGAGACU